rnacentral:snoRNA from 1 species
UGAUGAAAUUUUCAUUUUAAACGAUCGCAGUUUCCUCGGUAGCAUACGUAUAGAACCCAUCUAGUAUGCCAGUGACCGUUGUAUGACCUUUCUUGGAUGUCUGA